ACCUAGAGCCAGGAAAAUACAUUAUCAAUCUGUGCUGAAAUCACAGGAUGAAUCACGAAGAAAACAUGUAUAAGGAAGAGACUGCAGCUUUCUAGAAGACCUAAAUUAACUGAGACAAGGCCACAAGUGCCAGCAGCUGCAGAGAUGGUUUCCUGUUUAGCCAGUAAGUAAUCUAGAGCAAUUCUAUUUUUUAGCAUAAUUUUCACAAGAUAAUUUAAAGUCUGUUAUGUAACCAUAACCUUUAGUAG
rnacentral:lncRNA from 1 species